rnacentral:rRNA from 1 species
GGCCAGACUCCUACGGGAGGCAGCAGUGGGGAAUAUUGCACAAUGGGGGAAACCCUGAUGCAGCGACGCCGCGUGAGCGAUGAAGUAUUUCGGUAUGUAAAGCUCUAUCAGCAGGGAAGAAAAUGACGGUACCUGACUAAGAAGCCCCGGCUAACUACGUGCCAGCAGCCGCGGUAAUACGUAGGGGGCAAGCGUUAUCCGGAUUUACUGGGUGUGAAGGGAGCGUAGACGGUCCUGCAAGCCAGAUGUGAAAGCCCGGGGCGCAACCCCGGGACUGCAUUUGGAACUGUAAGGCUAGAGUGUCGGAGAGGCAGGCGGAAUUCCUAGUGUAGCGGUGAAAUGCGUAGAUAUCAGGAGGAACGCCGGCGGCGAAGGCGGCCUGCUGGACCGUGACUGACGUUGAGGCUCGAGAGCGUGGGGAGCAAACAGGAUUAGAUACCCGAGUAU